rnacentral:rRNA from 1 species
CCUACGGGUGGCUGCAGUGGGGAAGAUUGGGCAAUGGGCGAAAGCCUGACCCAGCAACGCCGCGUGAAGGAAGAAGGCUUUCGGGUUGUAAACUUCUUUUGACAGGGAAGAGGAGAAGACGGUACCUGUCGAAUAAGCCACGGCUAACUACGUGCCAGCAGCCGCGGUAAUACGUAGGUGGCAAGCGGUGUCCGGAUUUACUGGGUUUAAAGGGCGUGUAGCCGGGCUGACAAGUCAGAUGUGCAAUCCGGGGGCUCAACCCCCGAACUGCAUGUGAAACUGUUUGUCUUGAGUAUCGGAGAGGCAGGCCGAAUUCCUCGUGUAGCGGUUAAAUCCGUAGAUAUU